GAGAGAGAGAGAGAGAGAGAGAGAGAGAGAGAGAGAGAGAGAGAGAGAGAGAGAGUAACAAAAGGCUGUCCCUCGUUUACUGGCGUCCACGCUCACAAACAGUGUAAAUGGUGGGCAGUUGGCUGUCAAUAGGUUGGUUUAGGCCCACGGGAGGGAGACGCAGGUACGGGAAGGUGUUUGGAGGUGUUUGAAAGUGUAUGGAAGUUUGUGAAUGAUGUGUGAAGGUGACUGAAUGUGUUUGAAAGUGUGUGGAUGGAAGACAAGGUAUAUGGGAGGUGUGUGAAUGUGAGUGAAGGUGUGUGAAGCUGUUUGGAGGUGUUUGAAAGUGUAUGGAAAUGUGUGGAUGUGGGAUAAAGUCUGUGGAAGGUGUGUGAAUGUGAUUGAAAGUGUGUGGAAAUAUGUGGAAGAUGUGUGGAUGUGUGCAGAUGUGUGUGGAGGUGUGUAAAGGUAUAUGGGAGUGGAGUAAAGUCUUUGAAACGUGUGUGGAAGCAUGAAGACAAAAUAACUAAACACUUAGCUCGCCGCCUCCCGUCUCGUCCCUUAAAAAAGAAGAAGAAAGAGAAACAAGAAUAAGAAUCACUGAAUAAAACAAGAAAUAAAACAAGAAAUAAAACAAAAUUAAACCAAUAUAAUAAUUCAUAUUUCAGAGCAAAGAAAAAAGCUACUUCUCGCAACACAGGAACAGAAAAAUAUAUAUAACGUUACACAGAAAGAAGGAAGAGAGAGAGAGAGAGAGAGAGAGAGAGAGAGAGAGAGAGAGAGAGAGAGAGAGAGAGAGAGAGAGAGAGAGAGAGAGAGAGAGAGAGAGAGAGAGAGAGAGAGAGAGAGAGAGAGAGAGAGAGAGAGAGAGAGAGAGAGAGAGAGAGAGAGAGAUCAAGUUAGCCCAAUUAGUGCAUGUAAACGGACUAAUUAAAUGGUAAUAUUAUGGCGUGCUUGGCUGGCUGAGGAGGAGAAGGGGGGAAGGAGGAGGCGGAGGAGGAGAAUAAGUAGGGAGGGGGAAGAGUGGAGGAGGAAAGUCGUGAGGGGAGUAGAGGAAAGAAAGAGGAAGGAAAGAGGAAAAUGAUGAGAAAGGAAUGUAAAGAGAAUGAAUUAGAGAAUGGAAACGAGAGCGAGAGGAAUGUAAGAAAUUGUGAAGGAAUGGAGAGGAGAGGGAAAAAGAAGGAUUGAACGAAGAAAGGGAAGGAAGGGGAAGAAAGGCGAGGAAGGGGAAGAAAGGGUAGGAAGGGGAAGAAAGGAGAAGAGAAGAUGAUAGAAUGGAGUGAGGGGCGUAAAAUAAUUAUACAGAAAAAUGAAUAAGGGAGCUGAGGUGAUGAGGAAUGUAUAAAGGAGAAUGUAUAAGGAAAGAGGAGGAGUGAAGGAAAGGAGAGGGAGAAUGAAAGGAAUGAGAUAGAUGAAUAAAGAAGGGGAAAUAAAGAGAAGAAGACUGCGGAAUGAAGGGAAGAAAGAGAGAGGAAUGAAAGGAAUGAAUAUAGCAAUGUUGAUAAGGGUUUCACACGCAUGGAGGUGAGAGAAGCAGAAGAACGAAGGAAGAGGAAUAGAGGAAUGAAGGAAGAGAGAGAGAGGGGGGGGCAUGGAGGGAAGAGGGAGGGAGGAAUGGAGGGAAGAGGGAGGGAGAAGGGAGAGAGAGGGAAAUGGGGGAAAAGGAGGGAAUAGGGGGAGAGGCAUGGAGGGAAGAGGAGAAAGGGAGGAGGGAAGAGGAAGGAGAGGAGGAGGAGGAGCGGGAGGUGUGAAGAUAAGGCCCGCACAUAGGAAGGCCGCCCAUCCGCCUUGAAUCAGGAACAAAUAUUGGGUGGGACUCGUAUACCCGCGCGAGGAGAGAGAGAGAGAGAGAGAGAGAGAGAGAGAGAGAGAGAGAGAGAGAGAGAGAGAGAGAGAGAGAGAGUAAUCAGGAUAUGAGAUAAUGUGACGAAAUAAGAGGAAUGCGAAUGAGAAAAGAUGAAAAUAACAAUGAUGAUGAUGAUGAUGAGGAGGAGGAGGAAGAAGACGCAAUUGUAAAGGAAAAGAAACAGGAGUAAAAAAAAUAGUAAUUGCGGAAAAAAAACAAGAAUCAAAGGAACAAUAAAAACAAAAAGAAAAAGACGAAGUAGAAUAAAACGGAAAUGAUAAAAAAAUGAAUGAUGAAAAUGAAAAAUAAA